CGGAGUGGAUAAACGCUGAAAGCAUCUAAGCGUGAAGCCCGCCUCAAGAUUAGGUUUCCCACCCGAAAGGGGUAAGACACCUCGAAGACCACGAGGUAGAUAGGCCGGGGGUGUAAGAGUGGAAACACUUUUAGCUGACCGGUACUAAUCAGUCGAGGACUUGACCU
rnacentral:rRNA from 1 species